CCACCUUUGACGGUGUCUGUCUAAGUAUUCGGUGAGUGUUCCUCAGUUAAUCUGGUGCCUUCAGUAGAUGAGUCAGUAAAUCCACGGCUGAUCAAGCUACAGGUGGUCCCAGUACAGUAAGUCCCUGGGAUGAUCAAGCUGUAGGUGGUCCCAGUACAGUAAGUCCCUGGGAUGAUCAAGCUGUAGGUGGUCCCAGUACAGUAAGUCCCCGAGAUGAUCAAGCUGUAGGUGGUCCCAGUACAGUAAGUCCCCGGGAUGAUCAAGCUGUAGGUGGUCCCAGUACAGUAAGUCCCUGGGAUGAUCAAACUGUAGGUGGUCUCAGUACAGUAAGUCCCUGGGAUGAUCAAACUGUAGGUGGUCUCAGUACAGUAAGUCCCCGGGAUGAUCAAGCUGUAGGUGGUCUCAGUACAGUAAGUCCCCGGGAUGAUCAAGCUGUAGGUGGUCUCAGUACAGUAAGUCCCCGGGAUAAUCAAGCUGUAGGUGGUCCCAGUACAGUAAGUCCCCGGGAUGAUCAAGCUGUAGGUGGUCCCAGUACAGUAAGUCCCCGGGAUGAUCAAGGUGUAGGUGCCGGCAGGUGCAGCGAUAAGACC
rnacentral:lncRNA from 1 species